UAGAGUUCUGCUGCACAGUUUUUAUUCCAUCAGUGAGAAGUUAGUCAGGUCUUGACCAGUCUCAUCCUCAAGCAUAUCAUCAGUUGUCUCUGCAGCUGCUUCAAUAAAGCAGGCUAAGACUUACAUGGAGCCCCAUCCUGUCCUCAGGAAGUUCCUGGAAUGUAGGCCAGUCAGUCAUUUCAAUCUAACAAAAAAUGGAUAACAUUUGUUUGAAUGGAUCUGGGCUUAAAACUGGUUGAAAAUAUUAGCAAACGUCCAUGCGAUUCACUAAACAGCCACAGACACUUUUGGCCAAGCUCAAGGACAUCCUGUGCAAAACGGACUAAGCAACAGCUCUGCAGAGAAAAGCACUGAACACCCACAGCAGAAUAGCUCGCUUGUUUCAAAGAAAAUUCCACUCCUUCCUCUCUGGAUUUGAAGUUCCCUCUUUUAGGAGAUUUAGAACUAAAGCUAUUCUCUCAUCCAUGGUUUGG